AUUGAAAAAGCUUAUUAGGAGUUGGCUGUUCACUUUCUAUGCCCCACUCUGUAUACUACCUGCUGUGUGUGGUCAGCUGGUGCCGACUCUGCUCUGCAGCUGGUCGGAAUGAAGUCCAAGAUAGAUGCGCCGUUGAGCGGCGGUGCUGAAGGAUCUCAAGGAACGCUAUUUUGCAGGGAGGGAAGAGAGGAGUCAUUUGAGGUCAGCGAGGGGGAAAUGUGUGAACAGUAAAACAUUUCACCUUCCUGGAGGCUGAGUCAGAGCACUCUGAGCUGGGAGCAAGGAAGGAGUGAGGGAGAAUGGUGAAAUGAUGACUAUAAACUGACCUGUGACACAUCUGAGAUUACUGUAUAGAUCCCACUG